UACCGGGCUAACGAGACGUGCUAGCGACAGUUAGCCCACCAUUGGCUGUCCCGACUGCCGAGGUUGGGAGGCAGUGGCGACAGGGAAGGAGCCCGGACCGACGGACCUUUUUGGAGGAAAUAACCGAGAGAGAGAGAGAGAGAGAGAGCACCAGAAACCCGGACGAAAACCCGGGAUUAUAAAGCUUUUUUAUUCGAUGUUUGGAGCUCCCAAAACGGAUCAAACCGUCGCUAACGUUCAAUGUUAGCUGGAAGUUUUCGAGUGGAGCGCUGAUGUGGUGACGCGACUCUAAGCUAACGUUAGCCGAUAGAUUAAUCAUCUCAGCAGAGCUUUUGGAGACAUUUCUGGAUUUUUAAACUCGUUUUUAGUGUUUUCGUAAUAAUGUAAGAUACAUAGCUACGAGAUAGUAUAUCAUGUUGUGUACUUUUAUAUGGAAUACGGCGUAUCCGUAGACAACUACCUGACGUUAUCUUAGCUAAGUUAGUGUAUGAAACUAGCGAGCGUUAGCUACCUAGCUGGCUAGUAGCUAACGUUAGCUAGCUGUCGAGUUUUAACUGACUUCAAGCCAAAGAAUUCUGCUUCAAAUUAGCUAAGGCUAGCGAGGCUAAAACUAGUUUCCACGUCACCUCAUCACACAUAUCUAGCUACCUGUUGUGAAAUGUUGUUGCUGGUGAGUUUACCUUUUAUUUUCAAAGAUGGACGUUUGUUUUGAAAAGCAAAGAUACACACCAUACUUCCAAAUCUAAAUAUGCAAUCAUCGAAUCACCAUCUUACUUAAUGCUAGCUUGCUAACGUUGAGUUAGCCGGCCAAACUUGGAGUACUGCCCCCUGCUCACUUGAUGUGGGUUUCGCUUUGAGGCCUUUAGGAAAUUAUCCUUUUUUCCACCGAUAAGACCCUUUUCACAGCCUUAAUGCAGCCCAGCCUCCGCAUGGGAUUUCUACUCUGAAUCGCCUCCGGAUAUUUGUGAGAAUUGCCUGUUGGAGUACCUGGAGUUGUUGUCAAUAACGUGGAUUACAGAGGCAGUUGGAAGACCAAUAAUCCUUAAAGAUGAUGUGCGAGGUGAUGCCCACCAUCAGCGAGAGCGAAGGGGGGGGCGGCGGUGGUCGACGAGGAUCUGGCUCCCCAUUGCAGUCGGACUCAGAAGGUCACUUUGAGUCGCUGAUGGUGUCCAUGCUGGAGGAGAGGGAUCGUCUUCUUGAGACUCUGCGGGAGACGCAGGAGAAUCUGGGCUUGACUCAGGGCAAACUGCAUGAAGUCAGUCACGAACGAGACUCACUGCAGAGACAACUCAACACUGCAUUGCCACAGGAGUUUGCUGCACUAACAAAGGAGGUGAACGUGUGCCGGGAGCAGCUUCUGGAGAAGGAGGAGGAGAUUGCUGAGCUCAAGGCGGAGAGAAACAACACACGGCUCCUGUUGGAGCACCUGGAGUGCCUGGUGUCUCGCCAUGAACGUAGUCUGAGGAUGACGGUAGUAAAGAGACAGGCUCAGUCUCCCGCGGGAGUCUCGAGUGAGGUGGAGGUCCUCAAAGCCCUUAAGUCACUUUUUGAACACCACAAAGCCCUCGAUGAGAAGGUGAGGGAGCGACUACGCGUUGCCUUGGAAAGAUGCAGCGCGUUGGAGGAGCAGCUCACCCUCUCACACAAAGAAUUGGUUUACCUCAGGGAGCAGAGCAUCCAGAAGAGAGGGAUGGCAGACGGAACCAGCGAGGUCAACCACAACUCUGAAAACACACCGAGCACUAAUGGCAAGCGGUCAUCUGACGGGUCGCUGAGUCAGGAGGAGGAGUUGGUUCAUGGGUUCGGGAAGGUCAGCGAGCUCAAGGAUGUGGUGGACCGGCAGUCGGCUGAUCUGGGCCAGAUGAAGGAGCGCAUGGGUGCUAUGGUUUCACGCAUCAGCGAGCUGGAGGAGGACCUAGACACGGCCCGGAAGGACCUCAUCAAGUCCGAAGACAUGAACACACGGCUACAGAGAGACCUGAGAGAGUCGAUGGCUCAGAAGGAAGACAUGGAGGAGAGGAUCACCACCCUGGAGAAGCGCUACCUGGCAGCUCAGCGGGAGGCCACCUCCGUCCACGACCUCAAUGACAAGCUGGAGAACGAAGUGGCCAACAAGGACUCCCUCUUCAGACAGACUGAGGACAGAAACCGACAACUCCAAGAGAAGCUGGAGCUGGCUGAGCAGAAGCUGCAGCAGACCAUCCGCAAGGCGGAGACUCUGCCUGAGGUGGAAGCAGAGCUGGCUCAGCGGGUAGCUGCCCUCACCAAGUGUGUUCUGUGUGGCUCUAAAGGCGCUAAGACUCAAAAGAAGGCUGAAGAACGCCAUGGCAAUGUGGAGGAGAGACUGAAGCAGCUGGAGGCUCAACUGGAGGAGAAGAACCAGGAACUGCUCAGGGCACGGCAGCGAGAAAAGAUGAACGAGGAGCACAACAAGCGCCUGUCAGAGACGGUUGACAAGCUCCUCUCGGAGUCCAACGAGAGACUCCAGCUUCACCUCAAAGAGAGGAUGUCUGCUCUGGAGGAUAAGAAUGCCCUGAUAAGAGAACUGGAGCACACAAAGAAGUUGAUAGAGGAGUCUCACCAUGAAAAGGAGCAACUCCUGAUCCAGAUUGAGACCAUGAGGGCAGAGAACGAGCAGGGAAGAAGCAGGAGCAACUCCUUACUACAUGGGCGGUCUCAGCUAGGCAGCACUCCAGAUUUCAGGUACCCAGUGUCGGCUUCCUCGAUGAUGGACAGUAACUCGGACCAUUACGGCAGCGCUCUAGUGCUGAGACGGCCUCAAAAGGGACGGAUCGCAGCGCUGCGGGACGAGCCGUCCAAGCGACAUGUGCAGACCUUGAACGAGCAGGAGUGGGAGCGCAUGCAGCAGGCCAACGUGCUGGCGAACGUGGCCCAGGCCUUUGAGAGUGACAUGGACGCGUCGGACCUGGAGGAGGACAGAGAAACGAUCUUCAGCUCGGUGGACCUGCUGUCGCCUGGUGGCCAGGCGGACGCACAGACCCUCGCCUUAAUGCUGCAGGAGCAGCUGGACGCUAUCAACAAUGAAAUUAGAAUGAUCCAGGAGGAGAAGGAGAGCACAGCCAUCCGGGCAGAGGAGAUUGAGUGCAGGGUGGGCAGCGGCGAUAGCCUGGGAGGACGUUUCCGCUCCAUGAGCUCCAUCCCCCCGUCACUUUGUGCGGGCUCGUCGUUGGGCGACUCUCCCCCAGGCUCCGGCCACUCCACCCCCAGACGCGUUUCCCGCAGCCCCAACAGAGAAAUGGACCGCAUGGGUGUCAUGACCUUGCCUAGUGACCUGCGCAAGCACCGCAGGAAGUCUGCUCAGGAUGACAAGGCCACUAUUCGAUGUGAGACGUCGCCGCCCACCACUCCACGCUCCAUGCGCCUGAACAGGGAGGCAGGGCAUGCUGCCAGCCAUGAGGACAUCAGAGACAUUCGAGGUCUGGCUGGCCUGCAGGACGGCCAGGGUAGUAACCCUAGCAGUAGUAACAGCAGCCAGGACUCGCUCAACAAAGCAGCCAAGAAGAAGAGCAUCAAGUCUUCAAUUGGACGCCUCUUCGGGAAGAAGGAGAAGGGCCGACCCAGCAUUCCCGGCAAAGACUCCCCCAGCCAAGCUGGCACUCCUGAGGCAGAGAGCUCUCCUAAGGAUGGCUUAGGAAUGGGCACCCUGGGAGGCCCUGCAGAGAAGAACCGGAAGCUGCAGAAAAAUCCAAUGACAGGGCAUGAAUUACUGGAAGAGGCUCGCAUGCAGGGCCUGCCAUUCGCCCAGUGGGACGGACCAACGGUGGUAGUUUGGCUGGAGCUGUGGGUGGGCAUGCCAGCCUGGUACGUGGCUGCAUGCCGGGCCAACGUGAAGAGCGGAGCCAUCAUGUCAGCGCUAUCGGACACGGAGAUCCAGAGAGAGAUUGGGAUCAGCAACCCGUUACAUCGUCUGAAACUUCGUCUGGCCAUCCAGGAAAUCAUGUCUCUCACCAGCCCGUCUGCCCCGCCAACAUCUAGAACGACCACUGGAAACGUUUGGGUCACACAUGAAGAAAUGGAAAGUUUGGCAGCCACACCUCCCACGGAGGAUGACGAGGGUAGCUGGGCCCAGACGUUGGCGUACGGCGACAUGAACCACGAGUGGAUCGGUAACGAGUGGCUGCCCAGCCUGGGUCUGCCACAGUACCGCUCCUACUUCAUGGAGUCCCUGGUGGACGCCCGCAUGCUCGACCACCUCACCAAGAAAGACCUUAGGGGACAGCUCAAAAUGGUGGAUAGCUUCCACAGGAACAGUUUUCAGUGUGGAGUGAUGUGUCUGAGGAGGCUCAACUACGACAGGAAGGAGCUGGAGAGGAGAAGGCAAGACUGUCAGCUGGAACUUCAAGACGUGCUGGUGUGGAGCAAUGAGCGUGUGAUCAGCUGGAUUCAGGCCAUCGGGCUGAAAGAGUACAGCAGCAACCUUUACGAGAGCGGCGUCCACGGAGCGCUGCUCGCCCUCGACGAAACCUUCGAUCACAACACCCUGGCCCUCCUGCUCCAGAUCCCCACGCAGAACACACAGGCCAGAGCAGCUCUUGAGCGUGAAUACAACAGCUUGCUGGCCAUUGGCACAGAACGGAGAAUGGAAGAGGACGACGAUAAGAACUUCCGCCGAGCCCCGUCAUGGAGAAAGAAGUUCAGGCCCAAAGACAUGAGGGGGGUGUCCUUGGGUGCGUCUGACACCCUGCCCGCCAACUUCCGAGUGACCGCUAGCAGCGCGGCAUCUCCCUCCACGCAGCCAAAGAGGAGCCCGAUGGACGGAAGUCAGUCUAUACAGAGGCUGGACACUGCCACAGUCAGGACCUACUCCUGUUAACACACAACGUUUAUCCUCAUUAUUUCUAUAGGUAACCGCUGGUCCGAAGAUGAAGGGGAGUUCCCUGCCUUCAAGACCAGGAUGAUGAACUGAAACGACGUGCAAACACACUAAAAAGAUGGUUUUUAUUAUUGAGUGUGUUGUCAUCGCAGAGAAAGACCUUACUCACCAAUCUCAGUAUCCCAAGUGGAAACCUUCUAGAUUCAUCCACAGUUGUUAUUGUAUUUAUGUAAAACCCUUGGGACAUAUACAUGAUUUUAGAAUUACUAUGUAAUCCUUCUUCUUUUUGUUGCUUCUAUCCCCCUUUUAUCAACCCACAACCCACUUUUUAAAAGAAACCUUUCCCCACUUUGCCCGUAUUAAGCUCAGCUCUAAGAUGUAUGUAACUAAAGGAGUUUUAAUUGUCUGGAGUUUGUAUAUUUCUACCAACAGACAUUUUAUCUAAUCUUUUUAUAUAAUCCUGAUUCUAUUGACCAGAUGUAUGUUGUUUUUGUUUCUUCUUCUUCUCUUUGAUUUAAUUUCUAAUCAUUGAAUUCACGCUUAAGUGACUUUGACAUGUGAUAUAACUGAAUUCAUAAUUCAUAUCCUUUUUUAACUGGUGUACUUUUUGUAGCUCCUUGCCUGUGAUUGAGUGUAAAUGCAGCUCUUAGGUCAACGGAUGAGUGAAUAUCAGACAAACUGCUGAAGUUGUCAGGCUGUUUCAACAAACUGCUCAACACUGUGAGUCAUCCAUCACCUUUAAAAAUAACUGCUGGUAAGC